AAACAAACAAGACUAAAGAAGGCAUUACUCUUGCUUCUAUAUACACUCUCUAACUAAGAGUUACAUGAUGAUAUUCUGGAACACCACGUACAUGUAUAGACUAUGUUUGAGUCAUAUACAUACACAUUUAUCUUCAUAAAUAUGUAGAAUGGAUAAUGUUCUCUUUCUCUUUCUCUUCUUCUUCCAUCUCUACAUGGAGGCUAUUGCUUUGUAUUGUUCCUUCCAUGUGAGCAAGUGGGGCAGUGGCAAUUUUCAUGUGAGCUUGCAUGAAUCCAGCAGAUGGCUCCAUAACUAAAUAGCUAGUUAGCUAAAGCCACGUUGUCCAUGUGCCAACAACUGCUUAUCCUCUAUAGAUGGCAUAAUAAAAAAAUCCUAGAUUCUGCUAGUCCAGAUUCAUGAGUGUAUUCACUCUCCCUCUCUCCC
rnacentral:lncRNA from 1 species